rnacentral:rRNA from 1 species
GGGUUGUGAGGUUAAGCGACUAAGCGUACACGGUGGAUGCCCUGGCAGUCAGAGGCGAUGAAGGNNNNNNNNNNNNNNNNNNNNNNNNNNNNNNNNNNNNNNNNNNNNNNNNNNNNNNNCACACUAUCAUUAACUGAAUCCAUAGGUUAAUGAGGCGAACCGGGGGAACUGAAACAUCUAAGUACCCCGAGGAAAAGAAAUCAACCGAGAUUCCCCCAGUAGCGGCGAGCGAACGGGGAGGAGCCCAGAGCCUGAAUCAGCAUGUGUGUUAGUGGAAGCGUCUGGAAAGGCGCGCGAUACAGGGUGACAGCCCCGUACACAAAAGCGCAUGUGCUGUGAGCUCGAUGAGUAGGGCGGGACACGUGGUAUCCUGUCUGAAUAUGGGGGGACCAUCCUCCAAGGCUAAAUACUCCUGACUGACCGAUAGUGAACCAGUACCGUGAGGGAAAGGCGAAAAGAACCCCGGCGAGGGGAGUGAAAAAGAACCUGAAACCGUGUACGUACAAGCAGUGGGAGCACCCUUCGGGGUGUGACUGCGUACCUUUUGUAUAAUGGGUCAGCGACUUAUAUUCUGUAGCAAGGUUAACCGUAUAGGGGAGCCGUAGGGAAACCGAGUCUUAACCGGGCGUUAAGUUGCAGGGUAUAGACCCGAAACCCGGUGAUCUAGCCAUGGGCAGGUUGAAGGUUGGGUAACACUAACUGGAGGACCGAACCGACUAAUGUUGAAAAAUUAGCGGAUGACCUGUGGCUGGGGGUGAAAGGCCAAUCAAACCGGGAGAUAGCUGGUUCUCCCCGAAAGCUAUUUAGGUAGCGCCUCGUGAAUUCAUCUCCGGGGGUAGAGCACUGUUUCGGCUAGGGGGCCAUCCCGGCUUACCAACCCGAUGCAAACUGCGAAUACCGGAGAAUGUUAUCACGGGAGACACACGGCGGGUGCUAACGUCCGUCGUGAAGAGGGAAACAACCCAGACCGCCAGCUAAGGUCCCAAAGUCAUGGUUAAGUGGGAAACGAUGUGGGAAGGCCCAGACAGCCAGGAUGUUGGCUUAGAAGCAGCCAUCAUUUAAAGAAAGCGUAAUAGCUCACUGGUCGAGUCGGCCUGCGCGGAAGAUGUAACGGGGCUAAACCAUGCACCGAAGCUGCGGCAGCGACACUGUGUGUUGUUGGGUAGGGGAGCGUUCUGUAAGCCUGUGAAGGUGGCCUGUGAGGGUUGCUGGAGGUAUCAGAAGUGCGAAUGCUGACAUAAGUAACGAUAAAGCGGGUGAAAAG